rnacentral:rRNA from 1 species
AUGAGAACAAAACCAGUGCACUGGGCAAGGGCAUAUUUUGCAGUUGGUUCCAACUGUGAGUUAGUGGAUAACGACUUGUGUGAAUCAUUCAAUCAUGCAAUUGUGGAUGCAAGGUUUUAUCCAAUAAUUUCCAUGCUAGAUAAAAUAAGGGAGAAAAUAUUUGCUAGAAUUCAAGAACAGAGGGCCAAAGGUGUGAAAUUUCAUGGAAAAAUAUGCCCUGGCAUAUUCAGAAAGUUGAAAGCCAGCAUAGCAAGAACAUAG